rnacentral:rRNA from 1 species
CAGCCGCCGCGGUAAUACGUAGGGUGCAAGCGUUAAUCGGAAUUACUGGGCGUAAAGCGUGCGCAGGUGGUUUAAUAAGUCUGAUGUGAAAGCCCACGGCUCAACCGUGGAGGGUCAUUGGAAACUGUUAAACUUGAGUGCAGGAGAGAAAAGUGGAAUUCCUAGUGUAGCGGUGAAAUGCGUAGAGAUUAGGAGGAACACCAGUGGCGAAGGCGGCUUUUUGGCCUGUAACUGACACUGAGGCGCGAAAGCGUGGGGAGCAAACAGGAUUAGAUACCCCCGUAGUCCCUGUCUCUUAUAC